GUUAGGAAUAUUGGACAAUGGGCGAAAGCCUGAUCCAGCCAUGCCGCGUGAACGAUGAAGGCCUUCGGGUUGUAAAGUUCUUUAGCCGAUGAUUAUAAUGACUGUAGUCGGAAAAUAAGCCCCGGCUAACUUCGUGCCAGCAGCCGCGGUAAUACGAAGGGGGCGAGCGUUAUUCGGAAUCAUUGGGCGUAAAGCGUGCGUAGGCGGUUUUGUAAGUUAGGAGUGAAAGCCCAGGGCUCAACCUUGGAAUUGCUCUUAAAACUGCAAGGCUCGAAUCUCGGAGAGGAGAGCGGAAUUUCCAGUGUAGCAGUGAAAUGCGUAGAUAUUGGAAGGAACACCAGUGGCGUAAGCGGCUAUCUGGACGAGUAUUGACGCUGAGGUACGAAAGCGUGGAGAUCAAACAGGAUUAGAUACCCGGGUAGUCC
rnacentral:rRNA from 1 species